rnacentral:rRNA from 1 species
AGAGUUUGAUCCUGGCUCAGAAUCAACGCUGGCGGCGUGCCUAACACAUGCAAGUCGAACGCGACUUGGGCCUUCGGGUCCAAGUUGAGUGGCGAACGGGUGAGUAACACGUGGAUGAUCUACCUUUGAGUGGGGGAUAACGUUCCGAAAGGAACGCUAAUACCGCAUGACGUUCUGGGUUUGAAGACCUGGAACCCAAAGCCGGGGACCGCAAGGCCUGGCGCUUGAAGAGGAGUCCGCGUCCGAUUAGCUAGUUGGCGGGGUAACGGCCCACCAAGGCGACGAUCGGUAGCCGGCCUGAGAGGGCGNACGNCCACACUGNGACUGAGAAANGNCCCAGACUCNUACGGGGAGNCAGCAGUGGGGAAUUGUUCACAAUGGGCGCAAGCUUGAUGACCCCAC